UAAUACGAAGGGACCUAGCGUAGUUCGGAAUUACUGGGCUUAAAGAGUUCGUAGGUGGUUGAAAAAGUUAGUGGUGAAAUCCCAGAGCUUAACUCUGGAACUGCCAUUAAAACUUUUCAGCUAGAGUAUGAUAGAGGAAAGCAGAAUUUCUAGUGUAGAGGUGAAAUUCGUAGAUAUUAGAAAGAAUACCAAUUGCGAAGGCAGCUUUCUGGAUCAUUACUGACACUGAGGAACGGAAGCAUGGGUAGCGAAGAGGAUUAGAUACCCUCGUAGUCCAUGCCGUAAACGAUGUGUGUUAGACGUUGGAAAUUUAUUUUCAGUGUCGCAGCGAAAGCGAUAAACACACCGCCUGGGGAGUACGACCGCAAGGUUAAAACUCAAAUGAAUUGACGGGGACCCGCACAAGUAGUGGAGCAUGUGGUUUAAUUCGAAGAUACGCGCAGAACCUUACCAACACUUGACAUGUUCGUCGCGACUCUAAGAGAUUAGAGUUUUCGGUUCGGCCGGACGAAACACAGGUGCUGCAUGGCUGUCGUCAGCUCGUGUCGUGAGAUGUUGGGUUAAGUCCCGCAACGAGCGCAACCCUCACUUUUAGUUGCCAUCAUUAAGUUGGGCACUCUGAAAGAACUGCCAGUGAUAAGCUGGAGGAAGGUGGGGAUGACGUCAAGUCCUCAUGGCCCUUACGUGUUGGGCUACACACGUGCUACAAUGGUAUCUACAACAGGAAGCAAGACUGCGAGGUCAAGCAAAUCCUUAAAAGAUACCUCAGUUCGGAUUGCACUCUGCAACUCGAGUGCAUGAAGCUGGAAUUACUAGUAAUCGUGGAUCAGCGUGCCACGGUGAAUGCGUUCCCGGGUCUUGUACACACCGCCCGUCACACCAUGGGAGUUGGUUCUACCUUAAGGCAAGGUUUAAAACCCUUGACCACGGUAUAGUCAGCGACUGGGGUGAAGUCGUAACAAGGUAGCCG
rnacentral:rRNA from 1 species